GUUGUAAAGAAAGGAGGAAGGAGCCACGUGUGGAAAUAUUUUGUAUUUGCGGCUGAUGACAAGGGCAACAUCACAGAUCAUCAGAAACCCAUUUGCAAACGGUGUCAUCGAAGUUCUCUCUCAAAAGGAGGAAAUACAUCGAACUUAAUAAAACACCUCAAAGACCGACACCAAGAUUUAAUGAAAGAGUUCAAGCAGCUGCAGGCUGAAGAAGACCACGAACCAAACUCCUAAGCAGACAACGGUUCCAGAUGCUUUUCAGCAGCAGAAGUACGACAAAAACUCACCUGAGGCAAGAAAACUGAA